AUUGAACGCUGGCGGCAGGCCUAACACAUGCAAGUCGAGCGCGCGGCGGACGGGUGAGUAAUGUAUGGGGACUGCCCGAUAGAGGGGGAUAACUACUGGAAACGGUGGCUAAUACCGCAUACUGUCGGAUAACCCCUAUGGGAUUAGCUAGUAGGUGAGGUAAUGGCUUACCUCGGCGACGAUCCCUAGCUGGUCUGAGAGGAUGAUCAGCCAAACUGGGACUGGGACACGGCCCAGACUCCUACGGAUGCAGCCGUGGGGAAUCUUCCGCAAUGGACGAAAGUCUGACGGAGCAACGCCGCGUGAGUGAUGACGGCCUUCGGGUUGUAAAGUUCUGUUAAUCGGGAGACGGUACCGGAAUAGAAAGCCACGGCUAAUUACGUGCCAGCAGCCGCGGUAAUU
rnacentral:rRNA from 1 species